CAACCACAUCACGUUGAAACACCGGUUCACGAUCACCGAAGUUAAGCAACGUCGAACCUGGUCAGUACCUAGAUGGGUAACUGCUUGGGAAUACCAGGUAGUGUAA